CUUUUUAGGGCUGCACCUGUGACACAUGGAAUUUCCCAGAUUAGGGGUUGAAUCAGAGCUGCAGCCAUCAGCCUACACCACAGCCACAGCCACAUGGGAACCGAGCCGCAUCUGCGACCUACACCACAGCUCACAGCAACACCAGAUCCCCAACCCACUGAGCAAGGCCAGGGACGGAAUCUGCAUCCUCAUGGAUGCUCGUCACAGUCGUUUCUGCCGAGCCACGACAGCAACUCCGAUCUCCUUCAUUUUUGAUAGCUUAAUUUUAUUUCUUUUGAAUAAAGGAUGGAAGUGACAAGCCACCUUCCAAACCUGGUCCCCUAACCCCCUAGUUCCUCUCACUAGAGGCGACAGUGUCAGUUUCUUCUGUGUCCUUCCAAAAAAUUCUUUAUGCAUAUACAAUACAAAUAAAUGCAUACUUUCUGUUAGCAAGUAGAAAGAAACACACUCCACAUCCUGUUCUGUAUCUUCCUUCCAUCUCUUAAUCAGAGGUCUCAAGGACCAUCCUGCACGGCACACAUCCUUAUUCUUUGUAUGGAUGGACUUAACUUUAUGUAACCAGUCUCCUGCUGACUGGACAGUGGGUUGCUUUUACAAACAAUGCAGCGGUGAAUAAAUAACCUAGUAAGUGCCUCAUUUCACCCAAAGCAAACACUAGAUCAGAGGGAGUACGCAUUUAAAAUUUAAACAGACACUGCCUCCAAAUGGGUAGCAUCACUUUAUACUCCAUCUAACAAGGUACACGGUAAUGACUUCCCAAGCUACAAGCUUUUGAUCGCUGCCAAUCUCACAGUGGAAAAUACCUCACUGCAGCUUAACUUCUUUUUCUCUUUAUGAUCAAAGACACCAAAGGUCUUCCCAUUUUCCUCCUCCUUAAAGGAAAAGCCACAGACUUAAAUACUUACAUAAAAAAAUGGGACAGAUCUUAUUACCCAUCUCCCCUGGGCAAUAACCACCAGCAGCUCCUGAUCGCCUUUAAGAGCCAAUCCCUGCUGUGGCUCAAGAGGUCUUUCACACGCCAGCUUCACCUGCUUCUUCUGCAAUUUCCCCCACUCUGUUCCCCAAUAUGUCCACUUGACUAUUCACUCAAGGUAGCGUUUAUCAAGCCUGUGUCAGGCAUUGCUCAAGGCACUGGAGAUCGAGAAAAGCCAAGGUCCCUGCCUUUUAGGCAUUCCCCAACUGCUGGUCGAACGAAUGGUUCUUUAGAAUACCUCUUGCUAGAUACUAUCCUUGCACUCUUCCCACAAUAACAAACUCCUAUUCAUCCUUCAAAACCCAAUUCAGAUACCUCUUUAAAGAAGCCUUCCUCCUUACUCCCCAAACCAUCAGGAUCCCUCCCCUCCACAUUGCAGUGACUUUCGUAUGUGUCUGUCAAUACCUCUGUCUUGCAAGGACCUCAGUGCCAGGACCAUGUGGUAUUUACGUUUGACUUCUCUCCUCCACACCAGCAGGUAGCCAGAGGUUACUAAGUAAACAAAUGACCUUAACCAUGCCUCCUCUCAUCACCAUUACUUCCUACUUUGUUUUUUUAAAAAAGCAAUCCAUCUAGGUAAGAACAUGGCUAUGACCCUGGGUUUCUGGUCUCCAGGGUGUGGAUUACAGCUCAGCCCCUGACCUCAUGUGAACCUGGACAGGUCCCUUAACUUCUCCAAGCCUCCAUCUCCUUGCCAGUGUGGUCAGGAAAACAUCUAGGCCUGGAAGGAAGCACCAAAUGGGACAAAGUGUGGGAGGUGCUUCUGCAUGGGCCGGCCUGGUCCAGAGAUGGGAAGUGGCGGCUCCGCCUUGCAGACACCAAUAUUCAUAAUGAAUGCCACCAAUACUCCCAGCACCGCCCAGCUUGGGGAUGCUUAAAGGACAAAGAAAAGUUCAAGUUGGGAAGUGAGCCUGAGAAAACUGGGGAGCAUCUGAGGACACAGAACUCUGGGGAAGGAGAGGUUGAGAAAUGCUUAGCCAGGGAAAGGGUGUAUUCUUCAGAAGGCAGCUUCCAGCUCAAAGCCAGAUGGCCAGGCCUGACCAAGAAGGCAGAGAGAGGAGGGAGGUGGGGUGGGGGGGUGGGGUACUGAAAAGAAGACAUCGGAAGGAAUGCAGCCCUGCCAGCACCUUGGUUUUCACCGAGGAAAACCAGUUUCAGAUUUCUAUCUAGAACUAGGUGAUUAAAAAAAAAAAAUCGGUGUUGUUUUAACAGAGUUGAUGCUAAUUUGUAACAGCAGCUCUAGGAAACCAAUACAGAUUUUUUUUUUUUUUUGUAUCACCUAGUCCUAGGUCAGAAAUCUGAAGGUGGUUUUCCUGGAUGAAAAUCAAGUGCUGGCAGGGCCGCAUUCUGUCCAGAGACUCUCAGGGCGAAUCCAUCCACGUGCCUUUUCCGUGUCUAGCAGCCUCCACAUCCCUUACUCGUGGCCUCUCCUCCCUCCUUCAAAGCCAGGAGCAUCCGGCCUCCUCAUGCUGCGUCUCUGGUUCCUUCUUCUGUCUCUGCUUUAUUAAGGACCUCGGUGAUAACCUCGGGUGGAGCCGGAUGACCCAAGAUGCCACCUUCUCAAGGUCAGCACCCUUCGUUCCAUCCACAGACGCCCUUCCUUUGGCCACGUGACUGUGACACAUUUGCAGGUUCAGGGGGUCAGGCCGUGGACAUCUUCAGGAAGACCGCUGUUCUUCCUUCCAUGACCUCAGGUUUAUUCUGGCUCACCCUCAACAUUCUGUGGACAACCACCCCCUGCAGACAUCAUCGCUCCCCUGGGCUGGGUCAGAUUCCAAAGCCACCACAGUCCAGGCAGGCUCAGGCAGGAAGUGGCCAGGGACAGGCCAGAGAAAGAGCCUCACACGUCAGCCCAGAUGCCCACUGGCCCUCUCCACUCGGCUGGGCUGGUCACAGAGGUGCCCGAGUUCCCAGGGUCCCCUCGGCCAGGGCCCAGGGUCUCCACCGUGCUGCUCCUGCUGCCCCAGCCUGGCUGACGCAUUUUCCAGAGGGACAUUUGGCUGAAGUCUGCAGGGACAAGGGAAAAGCCCCGCUCGGGACCCAGCUGGCCGAGCCCAGGACAGGAGGGAGGCUGAGGAAGAGAGGAUGGGCAGACAACAGGCAGAGGAGGCACGUAUGAACUUGGAACUGCUGCCACCAGCUGCUGGGAGCAGAGCUGCUCUGGAAGACCUACUAUGUUCCAGGCGGUUCCCCUGCAGCCUGAACAUCCCUUUUCCAAUUCAGUUGUGUCAAUGACGUACAGGUUUCAACGGCUCGGCGGGUAAUUAUUUCUCAGGAGACCCCUGUGUGCCAACAUCAUCUGGAGGGAAAUAAGGCUUCCAGUCUCACAGUCUCACGCUAUCGCAAGAAGCAGACACUAUACAGA
rnacentral:lncRNA from 1 species